GGGUUGUGAGGUUAAGCGACUAAGCGUACACGGUGGAUGCCCUGGCAGUCAGAGGCGAUGAAGGGCGUGCUAAUCUGCGAUAAGCGCCGGUAAGGUGAUAUGAACCGUUAUAACCGGCGAUACCCGAAUGGGGAAACCCAGUGUGAUUCGUCACACUAUCAUUAACUGAAUCCAUAGGUUAAUGAGGCGAACCGGGGGAACUGAAACAUCUAAGUACCCCGAGGAAAAGAAAUCAACCGAGAUUCCCCCAGUAGCGGCGAGCGAACGGGGAGGAGCCCAGAGCCUGAAUCAGCAUGUGUGUUAGUGGAAGCGUCUGGAAAGGCGCGCGAUACAGGGUGACAGCCCCGUACACAAAAGCGCAUGUGCUGUGAGCUCGAUGAGUAGGGCGGGACACGUGGUAUCCUGUCUGAAUAUGGGGGGACCAUCCUCCAAGGCUAAAUACUCCUGACUGACCGAUAGUGAACCAGUACCGUGAGGGAAAGGCGAAAAGAACCCCGGCGAGGGGAGUGAAAAAGAACCUGAAACCGUGUACGUACAAGCAGUGGGAGCNNGGGCGUUAAGUUGCAGGGUAUAGACCCGAAACCCGGUGAUCUAGCCAUGGGCAGGUUGAAGGUUGGGUAACACUAACUGGAGGACCGAACCGACUAAUGUUGAAAAAUUAGCGGAUGACCUGUGGCUGGGGGUGAAAGGCCAAUCAAACCGGGAGAUAGCUGGUUCUCCCCGAAAGCUAUUUAGGUAGCGCCUCGUGAAUUCAUCUCCGGGGGUAGAGCACUGUUUCGGCUAGGGGGCCAUCCCGGCUUACCAACCCGAUGCAAACUGCGAAUACCGGAGAAUGUUAUCACGGGAGACACACGGCGGGUGCUAACGUCCGUCGUGAAGAGGGAAACAACCCAGACCGCCAGCUAAGGUCCCAAAGUCAUGGUUAAGUGGGAAACGAUGUGGGAAGGCCCAGACAGCCAGGAUGUUGGCUUAGAAGCAGCCAUCAUUUAAAGAAAGCGUAAUAGCUCACUGGUCGAGUCGGCCUGCGCGGAAGAUGUAACGGGGCUAAACCAUGCACCGAAGCUGCGGCAGCGACGCUGAUGCGUUGUUGGGUAGGGGAGCGUUCUGUAAGCCUGCGAAGGUGACCUGUGAGGGUUGCUGGAGGUAUCAGAAGUGCGAAUGCUGACAUAAGUAACGAUAAAGCGGGUGAAAAGCCCGCUCGCCGGAAGACCAAGGGUU
rnacentral:rRNA from 1 species